rnacentral:lncRNA from 1 species
UGUCUGACAGGGUCCUCCUCUCCCAGCCACCUCUGGCCUUCGUCACACCAAACCACCGCACGUAUUUCACAUCCUGUGCAGAAGUGCAGUCUUCUGUUUGCUGAUCCAGCCAACAACUAUGACGAUGAAAGAAGACUUCCUGAUGCAUAUUUUGAUUGAAUACUCCGAGCCUUCUGGUUGGAGCCCCCGAGGCAGACGUGGGUGUGAGUUGUCGUGUCACCUCUCCAGCCCUUCUGUCCCUGGGCCAACUGGCAACAGGCUCUGGGACAGAUGGACGCUCCCCAAGCCGUCCGUCCUCAGUUUGCUCAGGCAGGGUCAGGAAACCAUGGGUUAACAACAAGGCCUCCCAGGACUACAAGCACAGGAACACGAACCGGGAUUUGGUGCCAGGUUUGUGCCAUGUGGGCACUUACAGGAACCCAACCACGGAUCUGACUUACCGUACUGAAGCCACCGUCCAGACCAGACCAGACCUGUACCGUGACUAAUCUCAGUUAAACCGGAAGACAUCCGUUUGAGGUUUUCCCAGGUUGACAGUCCACUGCCACAACCAGGAGUCAUAUCAUCUGUCAUCUCCCGCUGUCCUCUUAUUCUUCCUCUCAUUGGGAAAACAUUACUUUCCUCAGCUGAGGGAUUCAUUAGUGUGUUUGGGGAGAAACUUACCUCAACCACAGACAACCAAACAUGACUCAUGAAAAGAGGGGUUUAUUUUCUGUCGUUGAGCGUAGAAAAUGUCCUAUUAGCAUUGAUUUGUUUGGUAAGGGCAGGAGGCAGACAAAAAUAUGCAAAGAAAAAUUCAAGAACAUCUCUUGCUCUGUUGCUUUCUCACACGCAUGAUCAAACACACACACGCACAAACAAACACACAUGCAAGCGCGCACACAUACACAAACACACACACAUACUGAAGAGGAGAAGAGGGAAAAAACAAGUGUUGGAAGGAGGGCAAGAAAGAGAGAAGAGUGGGAUGGGGAGGAGCAACAGGAGGAGGGAUGGGGAGGAGCAACAGGAGGAGGGAUGGAGAGGAGCAACAGGAGGAGGGAUGGGGAGGAGCAACAGGAGGAGGGAUGGAGAGGAGCAACAGGAGGAGGGAUGGGGAGGAGCAACAGGAGGAGGGAUGGGGAGGAGCAACAGGAGGAGGGAUGGAGAGGAG